GUGCUCACUUUGGCAACACCAAUACCACAACUGGAAAAAUACAAGAAAAUUAGGAUGGCCCCUAUCCAAGUUUGAUAAGCAAUUUGGUGAAGUGUUCCAUAUUUUU